rnacentral:rRNA from 1 species
AGAGUUUGAUCCUGGCUCAGGAUGAACGCUAGCUACAGGCUUAACACAUGCAAGUCGAGGGGCAGCAUGGUCUUAGCUUGCUAAGGCCGAUGGCGACCGGCGCACGGGUGAGUAACACGUAUUCAACCUGCCGUCUACUCUUGGACAGCCUUCUGAAAGGAAGAUUAAUACAAGAUGGCAUCAUGAGUCCGCAUGUUCACAUGAUUAAAGGUAUUCCGGUAGACGAUGGGGAUGCGUUCCAUUAGAUAGUAGGCGGGGUAACGGCCCACCUAGUCUUCGAUGGAUAGGGGUUCUGAGAGGAAGGUCCCCCACAUUGGAACUGAGACACGGUCCAAACUCCUACGGGAGGCAGCAGUGAGGAAUAUUGGUCAAUGGGCGAGAGCCUGAACCAGCCAAGUAGCGUGAAGGAUGACUGCCCUAUGGGUUGUAAACUUCUUUUAUAAAGGAAUAAAGUCGGGUAUGCAUACCCGUUUGCAUGUACUUUAUGAAUAAGGAUCGGCUAACUCCGUGCCAGCAGCCGCGGUAAUACGGAGGAUCCGAGCGUUAUCCGGAUUUAUUGGGUUUAAAGGGAGCGUAGAUGGAUGUUUAAGUCAGUUGUGAAAGUUUGCGGCUCAACCGUAAAAUUGCAGUUGAUACUGGAUAUCUUGAGUGCAGUUGAGGCAGGCGGAAUUCGUGGUGUAGCGGUGAAAUGCUUAGAUAUCACGAAGAACUCCGAUUGCGAAGGCAGCCUGCUAAGCUGCAACUGACAUUGAGGCUCGAAAGUGUGGGUAUCANACAGGAUUAGAUACCCUGGUAGUCCACACGGUAAACGAUGAAUACUCGCUGUUUGCGAUAUACAGCAAGCGGCCAAGCGAAAGCGUUAAGUAUUCCACCUGGGGAGUACGCCGGCAACGGUGAAACUCAAAGGAAUUGACGGGGGCCCGCACAAGCGGAGGAACAUGUGGUUUAAUUCGAUGAUACGCGAGGAACCUUACCCGGGCUUAAAUUGCAGAUGAAUUACGGUGAAAGCCGUAAGCCGCAAGGCAUCUGUGAAGGUGCUGCAUGGUCGUCGUCAGCUCGUGCCGUGAGGUGUCGGCUUAAGUGCCAUAACGAGCGCAACCCUUGUUGUCAGUUACUAACAGGUUCCGCUGAGGACUCUGACAAGACUGCCAUCGUAAGAUGUGAGGAAGGUGGGGAUGACGUCAAAUCAGCACGGCCCUUACGUCCGGGGCUACACACGUGUUACAAUGGGGGGGUACAGAGGGCCGCUACCACGCGAGUGGAUGCCAAUCCCAAAAACCUCUCUCAGUUCGGACUGGAGUCUGCAACCCGACUCCACGAAGCUGGAUUCGCUAGUAAUCGCGCAUCAGCCACGGCGCGGUGAAUACAUUCCNCGGGCCCUUGUACACACCGCCCCGUNC